UUUCAUCAAUAGUAAGAAAUUGUUGACUUAAAACAAGCUCUUAUAUUUUGUACUAGAAAGAAGACCAAAAAUAUUUGGAAAGAUUUUGUGUUUUUGCAGUAAGGGCUUUCCUUUAGUCUGUUAAAGGCUAAAUUAUUGUAUAUUUACUUUUUUAAUAAAGACACAGUUGACUCGUGAAGUGGAAAGGGUUUCAUCAGUACUAUGUGAAAUAUAAACUGACAAGAUCGGCUCCUGCGUAUCAUUUUUCUCAGCACGGUUGAUAUAAAGAGUCACAAAAAAUAGCCCCAUCUCUCACCUUCUUCUCUUCGGGGUCCUCUCGCCCGGUAGCUGGAAGCUGAGGACCAUGAUCCAAUAGAAAUCCCAGCAGCAGGUCUCAGUCAUCACAUCUCAAACCCAGCAGAGACCUAUGGUACGAUUCGGAGCAAGCCUUUUGUUCAGCGGGGGAGAAUAUUGGAGCCAGGAAGGGCGUCUAACACACACAAUAAUUAUAAUGCCGGUGCGCCAAUGAUAGUCAGUGUUUCCGCACUGAAGCUAAAUAAUUUUCAUUAUGAGGACAGUUGAAAUCAAUAUGCUGUAUGUUCAUGCACUCUCAAACUGCAGGAAGUCAAAUAUCCAAUUAUGCUUAUCUUAUUGCCAUGGUUAACAGAACAGCUUGACCACAGAGGCAACUGAGAUGAAUAAAAAAAUCCAAUCAGACAGCAAGGUGCAAACAAUAUUAACAAAAGUAACAUUAUGUGUCUAUAUCACCUCCCCCUUCCCUCCAAUCCCCUCCACUUCCACCAUUCUGUUCAAAACAGUAAUGGGGCAUGAACUCAGUGUAGUGAACCUGUUGUUUGCCUAGUAAAUACUUGAAAUUAAAUUAAUUAAUCUCACCUUCUUAGUCUUCUCAUUAAAAAUGAUUUCUGAAUUUGUUUGUACUUUUAAAUCCUGCUCCUUGCUCGUCUCAAGUCAUACAGUACAUCAUCACUAUAUCACUCCUUCAAUGGCAAAGCUGGCUUGUCCUUACAUCAGACAGCGGAUGCAGAACUGACUACCUCCCUUGGUUAGUCAGAAACAUAACAGAGACAAUGGUUGGUCACACACAGCGUGGUCUUUAUUUAUCACUCAAAUUUGAAAAAAUCCUAUGUAUAUCUUUUGUUUGUCCAAGACUACCUCUAGAAUUUGAUAAUAAAAAGACUAGAUUGAUCUUCUUAGAAUCUAAUCAGCAAGACAGAGCAGUUCCUCAAUAAUCUUUAUGGCAGUUAAAGUGGAAAGAUUAGGAGCAAGAGAAUACCAUGUCACAUGAACACUGUAGCUGUGACAAGAGUUUGGAUGAACAGAAGUAACAAACUUGUUCAAUUCUAAUACAGCAAGAAAAAAAACAUAAAUCCUUCUGACUGUAUUUUAUAGAUUCAGUGGAGAUUCUGGUCUGUCACUGCUGUUAUAGAACUGCUUAGUCUUUUGACUAAGUGAUAUGAGCAGACUUGUCAAUAAAGACAGAGUUACCCUUGUAAGUGAAAGGGUAGGAGGGUUGUCCAAUCUUAUGAGAAAACUAUUCUUUUUGUAUGAAAGCAUAGGAUACAAUUUCCAUUACAGAGAAGCGAUUAAAAAACCCUGAUCUCAAUCCAAUUGAAAACGUGUUUGCAGAGCUAAAAAGGCUUACAAGAACAAGGUGACCUACACACUUGACUCGGUUACACCUGUUCUGUCAGUGGUAAAACUCCAGCUUCUUUAGUGUAAGAAGCUUGUGCAAAGAUACAAAAACAUUUGAAAAUAUACAGUACAGAAAACCCCCAUAAAGAAAUGAUUUAUGUUGUUGUUCUGGUAAUUAGCAAAAAUAAAUACUUUUGGUAAUCCUACCAACUCUCCUGGUUUUCAGAUUUUUGCGCCUUGGAGAUUAUUGACUGUAGUUUCUGUCUCUGUCUCUAUGCGUGUUUCACAAAAACCCUGUAAGGAGAGGACAGUGCUGAAUGGUAAUCUCACCAUCAGCGCUGACCGUGAUCUGGCAGCUCUGUCCGGCCUGACAGUCAAAGAGGCUGUUUCUGCUCAACUUAUUCUCAAACCUGAGGUGAAGAUUCUUGCAUCUCUUCUUGACUUAUAAAGAAAAUCUUGUUGGUUAGUUUUGCAAUUGUGAAAUUAUCUUUCAAUUAUCACAUGAUGGAUUGGACAGUGCUCAGUAGGAGCUUGGGGUAUUGCCUCAUAGCAAUUAAAUUUCACACAGAUGGACUCUGUUUACCAAUUAUAUGACUGCUGAAUCCAAGUGGCUGCACUGAAAUUUAUAUAGGUGUAUGUGUGUAACCCAGUCCAAAAUAAGGGCAUUUUGUAUUGAGUUAAGUUCAUGGAAGGAAUAAUAAUUUAGAAUGUGUUAAGCAUGUUUACUUAAAUAUGUUAAAAUUGUUAUAAAUAAGUGUUAACAAAAAGAAAUGUAUUUAAAACCGUUUUAUAGGAAAGUAAUCUUCACAAUAUUUUAUUUUGAAGGGCUUAUGUUCGUAAGAGGAAGUGGGGUAGAACAAAGCAACUUCACUGGGCCGUGGUUGGCUGAGGGUCGAGGAGAGACAGGAAGUAAGAAAAAAGAAAUGAAAAAGAAAGAGGUGGGCAGCGCUGAAAAAACGUGGCGGAAUUAUUAAUAAACGAGUGUUUUAGCAGAUAUUUAGGUUUUCAACUCGACAGUCUGUUAAUAGAUAUCGACUCUACACUCCUGUUUGCAGCUACUGUGAUAAUUUCAGACCGGAAUUCACUGUACAGUAUGUGGAAAGUCAUAUGUAAUGCUCGCUAACGCAUUAGCAUUCAUUAGCACAGUGAAUGGACAUUGAGUACUGUGAGCUAACUCAGCUAACAGAAGACUUAACUAAGGUUUCCGUCGUGAGAGCGUUCCAGAGUUGAGCUUAGUGCAGAGAGAUGAGCUUACACUGAGAGUUUUGUGACUGUGCUGGAGGACUGUGUCUGCGUUGGAUUUUCCUGCUGUUUCCUGAAUCCUGUGGACCGAGGGACUGGUGAAGGAGCUGACGACAUCUUGCCAACUGGGACUAAGGACAGGUGAAAUUCCAAGAAGGUUCAAGAUUUUCCUUUGGAGUAAGGUACCAAAUUCCACGCUUUGUCAUCACAUCAGGCCUGCAACGGGGUUUUUUUUUUUGGGAUUAUGUUUUAGUUUAUUAUUGCCGGCUUAGGUGAACAUUGAAGUGUGGGCCCACAUUAAUUAACAUAGGUUUUGAGAAACCAAAAGACUGAAACAUUUACCAUUUCUGUGAAUUUAUUAUUGUGUUCAAUAUAUGUUCAAAAUCUCAUACAGGUGUGUGUUUGAUUUCUUGUAGAAUAGUAUUUGGAGAAUAUUGUUCUUGCUCAAAGCUAUAUUAUUGGGUGAAAAGAAUAGAAAAGUACUGGUGUAUUAUUACUCUAAAGUGAAACUUAACAAAGGGUUAAACACGAGAGUGUUAUUAUUUGUAAUUUAAUGGGUUUAAUUAACUCAGGGGCCCUUACCUACUUCAGACCUGUAUAAUUGGGCUACAUGUGUAUAUGAAAUAAAAAACUCAGAUUUCUUUUCUUUCACUUUACAGACUCACAGUUACUUUUUUUAGUUCAUACUAAAAAAAGGAAUUUUAAAAUUGAACGCAACAUGAGAAAAACAGUAAUGCACUGCACAUUUUGUUCUCAUCCCUUUGAAAAAUGGAGCACAAUUAAGACCACAAUAACCAGCAUAUUCCAUAGACUUGUCAAAAGAUGAAUAGAAGACUGAUGCUUAAAGUAAUAUUCGCUUUUAAGAAGAAAAAAAAAGGUGCCAGGAACAAAGAGCAAUAGGUGAUAGUUCUAAGAAGAACACAAAUAUACUACAGAAAUAAAACUCCACCUACUGGCAGGAGAGUUCAUUUAUCUGCAUCAGUUAUAUCUUGCUUUACAAGGUGCACGCUUUGUUUACCUUUCAUCUUUCUUGACACACAUAAUCUACAGUUUUCUGCUUUAUAUGUGUGUACAUUUCAAGUAAAUAGCAGGAGUCAUUACAACUCCCGGCUGUUUUACAAUGGCCUCUGCCUCCACAUUUAAAUGAGGUGUGAAAAAUGAGCUGGAGGCGACUGAGCCAUGCAGGCAAAGAAAAAAAA